UCAUGUACUGCAUUAACUAACAAAGCCAAAUGCUUCAAGGUGCAUACUAGCAAUAUAUUUUACAAAACCGAACAUAUUCAUAUAGUGCCAUGGCUAAUAAACAUCAUAAUUGUCCAAUUGCCUUGAUCAGUAACUUCAAACAUAUGAAAUUGACUUCCCGCCACCAUCCAGAGCAUCGCCAAACAUUUCCUACAUAUUCAAAGUGAACCUAAAUAUUAGAUAGAAAUCAAUAGCAUGCAAGUGCAAGCUCAAUUGAUGAAAUCUCACCUUUAUUGUUUUCAUACAAAAUUGAAUGAUAAUGAAAAUCAUCAAACUUGCUUGCUACCAGAAGGAAAAAGUAGCAUGUCAAAUUAGUGGGUUAACCCACCGAGUCAUGAACAGUAACCUAAUCCAACAUGAAAAUAAGACAUUCUAGUUCUUUUAAAGACAUAAUACUAUAAAGCACAAAAAGAUAUAAAAAUGAGAAUAGUAAAAAAAGAUCACACCUCACAUUAAGUAUUCGUAAGACAACUUGGUACAAAGCAACGACUCAAAGAUGUUAAGUUGAUCAACAAAUGUACAAUAUUUGUGAGCAACAUUUGUGCACCGGUACAGACUAUAGUAACAAACAUGCACUUAGUUUCCAAUAAAAAUAGUAAAAAUAAGUUUCAGAAAGAUGCAACAAGUAAAAAAGUAGUAAGAAACAAUGCACUUUGCUACGUGAAAACAAUACCUGACAAGUAGCCUAACUAAUGCUGAAGCAUGUAAUCCAAUACGAAUGUAAUGAACGACAACUGAAACAUUAAAGCUUCUUAUUUGCUACAGUAGCAACUUAUAUAGUCAAUCUUCUUGUUCACCUUCAUGUAGAACUGGAAAGAACUCAUGUGCAAGAUCAUAAUAUUGAUGAAUCAAUGAAGUAAUGUGUUCCAACAACAUAAAAAAAUAAGUAGAGAAAUAACUUUUUAUUUUUUUUAGAUACAUUAUUCCAAAUACUCGCUUUUCAAUAUAUUGCAAGCUUAUCAUGCAUUGACUACAAAGAAAGCAGCAUUGGGAAUUCAGAUUUAAAAAAACUAGAUCUGUUUAAUUCCUUUUGUACGAAAUGCAUAUGAUAUGACUCUAAAAUAAUAUUUUAUGGCAAUUUAUAUUGAUUUACUUUAGGUAGCUUAAGAAAUAAUCUCUUACCUAAGUCACUAAGCAGCAACAACCUGCUGAUUUAAGCGACUGAAAAAGUGUCAGAUUUAUCUGAGUGCAUGUGUCAAUC
rnacentral:lncRNA from 1 species